GGAUGGGUGGCAGAGCGGUUGAAUGCAUCGGUCUUGAAAACCGACGACUCUUUACGGAGUCCGUGAGUUCGAAUCUCACCCCAUCCG
rnacentral:tRNA from 1 species